CGGGACGGGGGAGUAAUGCUUGGGAAUCUAGCUUAUGGAGGGGGAUAACUACGGGAAACUGUAGCUAAUACCGCGUAAUAUCGAAAGAUUAAAGUGUGGGACCUUCGGGCCACAUGCCAUAAGAUGAGCCCAAGUGGGAUUAGGUAGUUGGUGAGGUAAAGGCUCACCAAGCCGACGAUCUCUAGCUGGUCUGAGAGGAUGACUAGCCACACUGGGACUGAGACACGGCCCAG
rnacentral:rRNA from 1 species